rnacentral:lncRNA from 1 species
UGAUGGUCUUUGUUUUGUUUCACUAGAGAGCAUGCUAGCACACACGAUGCACUUCACACUUGUAGUGGAAGAGAACAUGGCUAAUAUGUGAAAGAGAUGAAUGCCGAGAAUGUUGCAUAUUCUGAGGAUGCUAUGUUAACAAGGAUUACACUUCAUGAUUCGCUUAGAUGUAGGCAUUUAGUUGCAUUCAUGCAUUGCAUUAGUAGUAUUUGUGUGUGUGUCUAUGC